UGCUUCUGGUGGCUGAAGUCUGAGU
rnacentral:piRNA from 1 species